GACGUAGGGCGCGAGCGUUGUCCGGAUUUAUUGGGCGUAAAGAGCUCGUAGGCGGCUUGUCGCGUCGUCCGUGAAAACCUGUGGCUCAACUGCAGGCUUGCGGUCGAUACGGGCAUCACUGGAGUUCGGCAGGGGAGACUGGAAUUCCUGGUGUAGCGGUGAAAUGCGUAGAUAUCAAGUGGAACACCAGUGGCGAAGGCGAAUCCCUGGAAAAUACCUGACACUGAGGCACGAAAGCUAGGGGAGCAAACAGG
rnacentral:rRNA from 1 species